GGGAAUCCAAAGUGCCCCUGCCCCUCAAAGCAGAUGGGAAGGAAGAAGGCGCUGCCCAGCCGGAGAGCAAGUCGAAGAAGUCCAGCUCAUCCACCACCACGGGGGAGAAGAUCACCAAGGUGUAUGAGUUGGGGAACGAGCCGGAGCGAAAGCUGUGGGUGGACCGAUACCUCAGCUUCAUGGAGGAGAGGGGCUCCCCCGUCUCGAGUCUGCCCGCCGUGGGCAAGAAGCCCCUGGACCUGUUCCGACUCUAUGUCUGCGUCAAAGAGAUUGGAGGUUUGGCCCAGGUACGAGGGAGCGCAGGGCUCGCGAGGGUUGUCAUAGAGACGCUCACACACGCGGCAGCUUUCUUUGCAUAUACAGCAUAUACAGCAAUUGUUUCUCCGGAGAAAAAGCU
rnacentral:lncRNA from 1 species